GAUGAAGACGUAGCGAAAUGCGAUAAGUAGUGUGAAUUGCAGAAUUCAGUGAAUCAUCGAAUCUUUGAACGCACAUUGCGCCCCUUGGUAUUCCAUGGGGCAUGCCUGUUCGAGCGUCAUUUGUACCUUCAAGCUUUGCUUGGUGUUGGGUGUUUGUCUCGCCUUUGCGUGUAGACUCGCCUUAAAAUAAUUGGCAGCCGGCGUAUUGAUUUCGGAGCGCAGUACAUCUCGCGCUUUGCACUCAUAACGACAGCGUCCAAAAGUACAUUUUACACUCUUGACCUCGGAUCAGGUAGGGAUACCCGCUGAACUUAAGCAUAUCAAUAGCGGAGGA
rnacentral:misc_RNA from 1 species